rnacentral:rRNA from 1 species
CCUACGGGCGGCUGCAGUGGGGAAUAUUGGACAAUGGGGGGAACCCUGAUCCAGUCAUGCCGCGUGUGUGAAGAAGGCCCUCGGGUUGUAAAGCACUUUCAGUGAGGAAGAACGCCUGGUGGUUAAUACCCAUCAGGAAAGACAUCACUCACAGAAGAAGCACCGGCUAACUCCGUGCCAGCAGCCGCGGUAAUACGGAGGGUGCGAGCGUUAAUCGGAAUUACUGGGCGUAAAGCGCGCGUAGGUGGCUUAAUAAGCCGGUUGUGAAAGCCCCGGGCUCAACCUGGGAACGGCAUCCGGAACUGUCAAGCUAGAGUGCAGGAGAGGAAGGUAGAAUUCCCGGUGUAGCGGUGAAAUGCGUAGAGAUCGGGAGGAAUACCAGUGGCGAAGGCGGCCUUCUGGACUGACACUGACACUGAGGUGCGAAAGCGUGGGUAGCAAACAGGAUUAGAUACCCCUGUAGUC